UCUAAUACCGGAUACUGACCCCCGCAGGCAUCUGCGGGGUUCGAAAGCUCCGGCGGUGCAGGAUGAGCCCGCGGCCUAUCAGCUUGUUGGUGAGGUAACGGCUCACCAAGGCGACGACGGG
rnacentral:rRNA from 1 species